rnacentral:rRNA from 1 species
AGACGACGACGGGUAGCCGGCCUGAGAGGGCGACCGGCCACACUGGGACUGAGACACGGCCCAGACUCCUACGGGAGGCAGCAGUGGGGAAUAUUGCACAAUGGGGGAAACCCUGAUGCAGCGACGCAGCGUGCGGGAUGACGGCCUUCGGGUUGUAAACCGCUUUCAGCAGGGAAGAAGCGCAAGUGACGGUACCUGCAGAAGAAGUACCGGCUAACUACGUGCCAGCAGCCGCGGUAAUACGUAGGGUACGAGCGUUGUCCGGAAUUAUUGGGCGUAAAGAGCUCGUAGGUGGUUGGUCACGUCUGCUGUGGAAACGCAACGCUUAACGUUGCGCGUGCAGUGGGUACGGGCUGACUAGAGUGCAGUAGGGGAGUCUGGAAUUCCUGGUGUAGCGGUGGCAGAUAUCAGGAGGAACACCGGUGGCGAAGGCGGGACUCUGGGCUGUAACUGACACUGAGGAGCGAAAGCAUGGGGAGCGAACAGGAUUAGAUACCCUGGUAGUCCAUGCCGUAAACGUUGGGCACUAGGUGUGGGGGGCAUUCCACGUUCUCCGCGCCGUAGCUAACGCAUUAAGUGCCCCGCUGGG